ensembl:lncRNA
CGUAACUAACCUGUACUCCUGGUGAGACAGGCACUCAAACAGGUCCUUGGCAGUGAAGUGUGGUUCCAUGGAAGCGAUCUGAAACACAGAGCAGGUUUUUUAUUUUGUUUGUUUGUUUUUUUUUCUCCACCCAACAUACACACCAUUAAACCGCACGCUCGUCGUCAGGGUCACGAACACGCCAGCACUGUGAAACUGACUGUUUCGAUAUUAAUCCUAUUUUCUCAACAGAACUAACCACAGCGACUUCUGAGUACAUUUUCCCCCAUUAGUGGUGUACUGUGUAAACAAAAAGCUCAUAUAAUACAUCGUGAUACAAAUACAAUACUGUUGCAUUUGUACUCUGCCCAAUGACAAUAAUCUAAUCUAAACACACGAACUCACGCAUGAAAAGUGAAAAGCCUGUACCUCCCGAUCCUUUUUAACGUUUGACUGGUGAUGAAUACUCUGUGUUUUAUAUACAAAAGUGGCAUAAUAUCCAAUCAGUAUAAACCAUGAACACCUAUUUUAUAAUAUUUAUGAAAAGCCUAAACAAUGAAACUGCUAGAAUUAAGCAGUGCAUUAGAUCACAAAGUCUCACUGAUGGCAUAACACACUUAAAGGCAAACAGGCAGCUGCAUUCAUGAUUCGAAAAAUGUCUUAAGGUGUGUGUGUGUGUGUGUGUGUGUGUGUGUGCGUGCAUUAUAAACCUAUAUUGAUUUAUAAACUUCAGCAGAGGCUGAAACUAGAUUCCCUUAUUACACUGGGACAUUCAUUCUUAACACCGCACUCAGUUGUGUGGAAUCAUUAAAGCUUAAUGUUUGUGCUGCAGGUUGUUAUUCUGUCUUCCAGUUAAAUCUAUUUAACUCUGAGAUUUAUGGGUGUAAUGUUUGACAUUAAAGUGUUUCUGGACCUCUCGCACUCAUAGAUCUGUUACAGGUUGCUAUACAACGGAUCUGGCUAUUUCCUUCAUUUCUGUUGACAUUUUUCAAUCUUCACAUACGACACGUACCCCCAGCUGGAAUAAAGUUACUCAGCUCUUUCAUUUUGAUCUUUUUCAUUAAAAGGCCACUCAAGAGAUACGGCUAGUUUCAACACCAGCUGCAUUUUUGUUGUUACCCUGCGGUCACAGUAGCGAGUUUCAAGGAAGCAAAUUUGUCCAUGCUCUCUGGGUGGGAGGGAUGGCAUACUUUCCCUCCCCCUGUCAAUCACAGUGACACUAGCCAAUCAUAGGCUUCUGUGAGCUUGUGUAUGCAGAAGAGGGCAGAUAAUGCUUUCCUGAUAAGAACCAAUAAUCUCUGCAAUGUCCUUCCAAGCUUUAUUUUUCUUCGUAAUCUAUCUAUACACAUUUAGUGAGAGGUUGCACAUGAAUAAGGAUAAGAUUAAACCAAGUUUCUCUUCUAUUUUUGCACAUAAACAGUAAAAAAAGGAAUUAAUUGCAGGUAGGAACUAAAGUUACGAGUGGGGAAAAUCAGACCACAUGCGCCAUAGGAUUGGUUCAAGGAGUCACUGCAUCAUAGGAUUGGUUCAAGGAGUCAUUGCGCCAUAGGAUUGGUUCAAGGAGUCACUGCAUCAUAGGAUUGGUUCAAGGAGUCAUUGCGCCAUAGGAUCGGUUCAAGGAGUCACUGCCCAUAGGAUCGGUUCAAGGAGUCAUUGAGCCAUAGGAUUAGUUCAAGGAGUCACUGCCCAUAGGAUCGGUUCAAGGAGUCAUUGAGCCAUAGGAUUAGUUCAAGGAGUCACUGCCCAUAGGAUCGGUUCAAGGAGUCAUUGAGCCAUAGGAUUAGUUCAAGGAGUCAUUGCACCAUAGGAUCGGUUCAAGGAUUCAUUGAGCCAUAGGAUUGGUUCAAGGAGUCAUUGAGCCAGAGGAUUGGUUCAAGGAGUCAUUGAGCCAGAGGAUUGGUUCAAGGAGUCAUUGAGCCAGAGGAUUGGUUCAAGGAGUCAUUCGAUCCUAUUUGACUGUUUUACUGUCACACUGAAUGUGAAGAGAAUUGAGUAAAUCUCAAAUGAUGCUGAAAAUCCUUCUUCUGCGUUGUGCACGUACAUAGAAAAUGAACGGUCCUCUUUUGCUUUGUGUCUUGCUCGUAUGAACGUAUAGAAUUAAAUUUGUGAUUGAACGCAAUUUUUCAGAAACUAACAAAAAUAUACAAUGAGAGAGCGGAAAACGCUCUGAAACUGAGAACAAUGAACUCAGUGGCAAAAAUGUAACACAGUCUUCAAAUAAACAGCGUUCUUUGUUAACAGUUUCCUAAGCUUCGUUUUCGCUAAUCAUGGUUAGGCACUUUAGUUAAUCUUCACAUUAAACAUCAGAAUGAGGGGAGAAUGU